UGAAGCCAAAUGCUGAUGUUCCCUGGCUCUGAGGAAUUAGGAAAUCCACACCCAGUUAGGAAGCGGAUUGUAAUGGAAGCUCAUUUUGUCACGGAUCAAAAUUAGUCGACUGGGGUGUCCACUAAAUCAUCAGUGAGGAAAGGGAUGCCAGCCUGCCUGCUUUGUCUGGGAGACUUCCGCUGUGUUUCUGAGAAGUGCUGGCCUUUGAGAAGAGGCCUCCAGCCUUCCUCCGGUUCAAUCCAGCUACAGAAAGGACAUUCAUUCCCUACCUGCACCUUGACAACGGGGAGCCCACUCACCUGCUUUGCCAGGAGAAGAGUCAUGCUGGCACACUCCUCUCUCUCUCUCUCCUCUCCCACCUCUUCUCAAAACUCACUCAACAUAGGCUGGAGUACCCACCUAAUUUAAACCAUUCUUUAAAAAAACUUUUUUAAUGUUUAUUUAUUUUUGAGA